AGUGAUUCAUUUUACGUAAUUUCAGACAAAUAAGAUUAGAACUCUUGGUUUUUAAAAAUGAGUUCAGGGAUGACGUAUAUUAAUCCCAAAGAAUCCCAGCCAUAAUAAAAUAACUGUUUGCUUUGAAUUUCUUUUAGUUAUUGAGGAACCAGAGAUUUCCUGCCUCCUAUCACCAUGCAGUGGAAACUGUUGUGAAUAUGCUGAUGCCACACAUCACUCAGAAAUUUCGAGAUAACCCUGAGGCAUCUAAGAAUGCAAAUCAUAGCCUCGCUGUCUUCAUCAAGAGAUGCUUCACCUUCAUGGACAGGGGCUUCGUCUUUAAGCAGAUCAACAACUACAUCAGCUGCUUUGCUCCUGGAGACCCCAAGACUCUCUUUGAAUACAAGUUUGAAUUUCUCCGGGUGGUGUGCAGUCAUGAACAUUAUAUUCCUUUGAACUUACCGAUGCCAUUUGGAAAAGGCAGGAUUCAAAGAUACCAAGAUCUCCAGCUUGACUACUCAUUAACAGAUGAGUUCUGCAGAAACCACUUCUUGGUGGGACUGUUACUGAGGGAAGUGGGCACCGCCCUCCAGGAAUUUCGGGAGGUCCGUGUGAUUGCCAUCAGUGUGCUCAAGAACCUGCUGAUAAAGCAUUCUUUUGAUGACAGAUACGCAUCUAGGAGUCAUCAGGCAAGGAUAGCCACUCUCUACCUGCCUCUGUUUGGGCUACUUAUUGAAAAUGUCCAGCGGAUCAACGUGAGGGAUGUGUCACCCUUCCCCGUGAACCCAGGCAGUACUGUGAAGGAUGAGCCCCUUGCUCUGCCAGCUGGGAAUGCACUUGUGACGCCACAGAAGGGAAGCACGCUGGACCACAGCCUGCACAAAGACCUCUUAGGUGCCAUCUCUGGCAUUGCUUCUCCAUAUACAACUUCAACUCCAAACAUCAACAGUGUGAGAAGUGCUGACUCAAGAGGGUCUCUUAUAAGCACAGAUUCUGGUAACGGCCUUCCAGAAAGAAAUAGUGAGAAGAGCAAUUCCCUGGAUAAGGUAAUUUCUUUUCAUGUAAUAUAAGUGUUUUGUAUAACUAAUGGAUUUAGCCCAAAAUAAACGUGCUUCAUGUUCUAGGGUUUGUCAAAUGUAACUAAAAAACACCAAACAAACAACUUGGUUGACCUGGGAUACAUAAUCAGAACUUUGUCUAAGGUUAGAGGCCUGUCUCCUGAAACUCUUCCCUUUUUUAAAUUUAAAUUUAAAUUUAAUUUAAAUUUUAUUUUUAUUUUAUUUUAGUGUGUGUGUGUGUGUGUGUGUGUGUGUGUGUGUGUGUGUGUGUGUUGUGGUGCUAGGGAUCAAACCCAGGGCCUUACACAUGGUAGGGAAACGCUUUACCACUGAACUUCUCACCCAGCCCCUUGAAACACUUGAUUCCUGUUUCUGGGAUCUCAGAUCAGGGUAUCGUGUACAAUGCAGUGCCUUGAAUGAAUGAUUCUGGCAGGUUGGCACUUAGGGAAUCAAAAUGCUCUCUGUUUAGAUGUUCACAGUGUGUUGGAGGAUACUACUUAUAGCACAGUAUCCAUGCACAGGGCUUAGGUCCAAAGCCAGCUCCAGAAAAGAUUAAUUGAUCAUAUCAGUGAUUCAAGGAUGAGACAUGAUUUGAAAUCACUAUAUCCACCCUGGACCCACUAUACUUCCUCCCAUACUUAACCUUUUUUCUUAAAAUUAAUGAAGGCUCAAACUCUAGAACUUGGUGGCAAAACAUAAAGCUUGAAUUUAAACCUGGA
rnacentral:lncRNA from 1 species